UACAGAGGUCUCAAGCGUUGUUCGGAAUCACUGGGCGUAAAGGGUGCGUAGGUGGCGUGGCAAGUCAGAUGUGAAAUCCGGAGGCUCAACCUCCGAAUUGCAUCCGAUACUCCCAUGCUAGAGAACUGGAGGGGAGUCUGGAAUUCUCGGUGGAGCAGUGAAAUGCGUAGAUAUCGGGAGGAACACUAGUGGCGAAGGCGAGACUCUGGACAGUUUCUGACACUGAUGCGCGAAUGUGAGGGGAGCAAACGGG
rnacentral:rRNA from 1 species